rnacentral:rRNA from 1 species
CCUACGGGGGGCAGCAGUGGGGAAUAUUGGACAAUGGGCGCAAGCCUGAUCCAGCCAUGCCGCGUGUGUGAUGAAGGCCUUAGGGUUGUAAAGCACUUUCGCCGAUGAAGCGGUAGUCGGAGAAGAAGCCCCGGCUAACUUCGUGCCAGCAGCCGCGGUAAUACGAAGGGGGCAAGCGUUGUUCGGAUUUACUGGGCGUAAAGCGUACGUAGGCGGAUAUUUAAGUCAGGGGUGAAAUCCCGAGGCUCAACCUCGGAACUGCCUUUGAUACUGGGUAUCUUGAGUCCGAGAGAGGUGAGUGGAACUCCUAGUGUAGAGGUGAAAUUCGUAGAUAUUAGGAAGAACACCAGUGGCGAAGGCGGCUCACUGGCUGGACUGACGCUGAGGUACGAAAGCGUGGGGAGCAAACAGGAUUAGAUACCCUUGUAGUC